rnacentral:rRNA from 1 species
UACGUAGGGUGCGAGCGUUGUCCGGAAUUAUUGGGCGUAAAGGGUGCGUAGGCGGGUCUUUAAGUCAGGGGUGAAAUCCUGGAGCUCAACUCCAGAACUGCCUUUGAUACUGAAGAUCUUGAGUUCGGGAGAGGUGAGUGGAACUGCGAGUGUAGAGGUGAAAUUCGUAGAUAUUCGCAAGAACACCAGUGGCGAAGGCGGCUCACUGGCCCGAUACUGACGCUGAGGAGCGAAAGCGUGGGGAGCGAACGAGG